rnacentral:rRNA from 1 species
GAUGAACGCUGGCGGCGUGCUUAAUACAUGCAAGUCGAACGAAAAGACGAGGCGCUUGCUCCUCUGACGUUAGCGGAGGACGGGUGAGUAACACGUGGAUAACGUACCUAUAAGACUGGGAUAACUUCGGGAAACCGGAGCUAAUCCCGGAUAAUCUAUUGAACCGCAUGGUUCAAUAGUGAAAGACGGUUUUGCUGUAACUUAUAGAUGGAUCCGCGCCGCAUUAGCUAGUUGGUAAGGUAAAGGCUUACCAAGGCAACGAUGCGUAGUCGCCCAGAGAGGGUGAGCGACCCGACCUGAGCUGAGAAACGGUCCCGAUUCCUAUGGGAGGCGGCAGUGGCGAAUCUGCCGCAAUGGGGUAGAGCCUGUCGGAGCAACGCCGCGUGAGUGAUGAAGGUCCUCGGAUCGUAAAACUCUGUUAUUAGGGUAGAACAAAUGUUUAAGUAACUAUGCACGGCUUGAGGGUGCCUAAUCAGAAAGCCACGGCUAGCUACGUG